UACGUAGGGGGCAAGCGUUGUCCGGAUUUAUUGGGCGUAAAGAGCGUGUAGGCGGCCAAAUAGGUCGGUUGUGAAAACUGGAGGCUUAACCUCCAGACGUCGACCGAAACCAUUUGGCUAGAGUCCGGAAGAGGAGAGUGGAAUUCCUGGUGUAGCGGUGAAAUGCGCAGAUAUCAGGAAGAACACCCGUGGCGAAGGCGGCUCUCUGGGACGGUACUGACGCUGAGACGCGAAAGCGUGGGGAGCGAACAGG
rnacentral:rRNA from 1 species